rnacentral:rRNA from 1 species
CAGUAGCCGCGGUAAUACAGAGGGUGCGAGCGUUAAUCGGAUUUACUGGGCGUAAAGCGUGCGUAGGCGGCUUCUUAAGUCGGAUGUGAAAUCCAUGAGCUUAACUUAGGAAUUGCAUUCGAUACUGGGAAGCUAGAGUAUGGGAGAGGAUGGUAGAAUUCCAGGUGUAGCGGUGAAAUGCGUAGAGAUCUGGAGGAAUACCGAUGGCGAAGGCAGCCAUCUGGCCUAAUACUGACGCUGAGGUACGAAAGCAUGGGGAGCAAACAGGAUUAGAUACCCCAGUAGUCCCUGUCUCUUAUAC